UUGUGGAGACGUGUCUGAACCUCUCGACCCCCUCUUUGUUGUAGAUUUCUCUUGCUUUAGUUUCUUUUCUCAGCCCCGCCGUGCACGUUCUCGGGACCUGAUCGACUUUGCCGGCUGGCACCUGCAGGCGGCGCCCGAACAGGGACUCGGGAAUCUGAGCGCGACCGCCGCCCGCCAAGAUUGAAGAUGCCAAAGCACUGCGCUGGCUGCUGGAAAGGUUGGUACGCACAGCGGAGACGAUCGCUAGUAAACCAGAUGAGGAGAUUGACUAUUCAAGAGCAUGAUGAAUUACCAUCUCGGCAACAACUUCAGGCAUUGAUGCGAGAGGCACAGAAUCGUGUUGCUGUACAGGGCGAUCUGAUAUCGCCUUUAAGCUUUCUGAUAACCUUAUUAAUUAUCUUAAAUCAGAUUAAUACUGCACAUUCUGAAGAAUA